AAUUCCAUUUUAAAUACAUUCUUACCUCACCAGUUUUUCACAAAUGUAUCUGUCGUGCAGCUUUAUAUGAAUUGGACAUAUACGGAGAGAUACGGAGUCAAUAACUUUAGUCAUCAUAUUUAUAUAAACGAGAAAGAGCAAGUCACAGCGGAACAUAUAUAUAUAUAAUCCCAAUAUUGUUGUAUGCGAUCUCCAUGGCAGCUUUCUCGUCUGCAAUGGCGAGCCAGGAUUGGUCCUCGAAGUGCGCGUCAGAAAGGCCUUCAGUCAUAAAAAUAUCAUGUCUGCAAUACAGAACGUACUUUUUACUAAAUACUUUGUCUCGUAAUGCAUAAGCGGUGUGAUCCUUAUAAAUAGUAGAACGAUAGAAGCGAUCGUUAUAUCACGCAUCUUUCCGGAAACUGCAUUAACAACAAGGAGGACUGUUUAUGAUUGGAUGUAUAAAUAUAAACUUUCAGCACCCUUGGUAGCUUAUGGUACAACAUUUAAUUUUACUGAAUUAAAUAUUUAUUUAGAUGGUAAAAAGACGAAUAAGGUAUAUUUAUUGUCUUCAUUUAUUUUGCAAUGAAUUGUCAUUCUUGUAAAAUUGAUGUAACUUUCUAUUAUACAUCGAUUACAUAAAUAAAAUUAAUUUUGGUCUC
rnacentral:misc_RNA from 1 species